AGACAGGAGAUGAGAUUCUCAGUGUCAACAACAUGAUAUUAACAGAGGCAACACAUGAGGAAGUGGUGAACUUACUAAGAUCAAGAAGAACACUUGCCUUGAAAGUCAGAAGCACGGGCAAAGUUCCUUGUAAAAUACAUGAUCUUGUUAGAUGGGAAGAGGUAGAAGACAAGGAGAAUGUGUAUUAUCAUCCUGAUCUAUUGGUAAUC